rnacentral:rRNA from 1 species
UAGGGAAUCUUCGGCAAUGGACGGAAGUCUGACCGAGCAACGCCGCGUGAGUGAAGAAGGUUUUCGGAUCGUAAAGCUCUGUUGUAAGAGAAGAACGAGUGUGAGAGUGGAAAGUUCACACUGUGACGGUAUCUUACCAGAAAGGGACGGCUAACUACGUGCCAGCAGCCGCGGUAAUACGUAGGUCCCGAGCGUUGUCCGGAUUUAUUGGGCGUAAAGCGAGCGCAGGCGGUUAGAUAAGUCUGAAGUUAAAGGCUGUGGCCUAACCAUAGUAGGCUUUGGAAACUGUUUAACUUGAGUGCAAGAGGGGAGAGUGGAAUUCCAUGUGUAGCGGUGAAAUGCGUAGAUAUAUGGAGGAACACCGGUGGCGAAAGCGGCUCUCUGGCUUGUAACUGACGCUGAGGCUCGAAAGCGUGGGGGGCAAACAGGAUUAGAUACCCUGGUAGUCCACGCUGUAAACGAUGAGUGCUAGGUGUUAGACCCUUUCCGGGGUUUAGUGCCGUAGCUAACGCAUUAAGCACUCCGCCUGGGGAGUACGACCGCAAGGUUG